rnacentral:rRNA from 1 species
UUCGCAAUGCCCGAAAGGGUGACGAAGCGACGCCGCGUGUGGGAAGAAGGCCUUCGGGUUGUAAACCACUGUCGGGAGUUAGGAAAUGUAAGGGUGUUAAUAGCAUCCUUACUUGACUAAGGCUUCGGAGGAAGCCACGGCUAACUCUGUGCCAGCAGCCGCGGUAAUACAGAGGCGGCAAGCGUUGUUCGGAAUUAUUGGGCGUAAAGAGCACGUAGGCGGCCUUGUAAGUCAGUUGUGAAAGCCUUCUGCUUAACGGAAGAACAGCAGCUGAUACUGCAAGGCUAGAGUGCGGAAGGGGAGAGUGGAACUUCUGGUGGAGCGGUGAAAUGCGUAGAUAUCAGAAGGAACACCGGCGGCGAAGGCGACUCUCUGGUCCGUAACUGACGCUGAGUGUGCGAAAGCUAGGGGAGCAAACGGGAUUAGAUACCCCGGUAGUCCUAGCCGUAAACGAUGGGCACUAAGUAGAGGGGUUUU